rnacentral:rRNA from 1 species
CCUACGGGGGGCUGCAGUGGGGAAUAUUGCACAAUGGGGGAAACCCUGAUGCAGCGACGCCGCGUGAAGGAAGAAGGUUUUCGGAUCGUAAACUUCUAUCAGCAGGGAAGAAGAAAGUGACAGUACCUGGCUAAGAAGCCCCGGCUAACUACGUGCCAGCAGCCGCGGUAAUACGUAGGGGGCAAGCGUUAUCCGGAAUCACUGGGUGUAAAGGGUGCGUAGGCGGUAGGGCAAGUCAGAUGUGAAAGCCCGGGGCUCAACCCCGGGAUUGCAUUUGAAACUGUCUUACUAGAGUGCAGGAGAGGAAAGCGGGAUUGCUAGUGUAGCGGUGUAAUGCAUAGAUAUUAGGAAGAACACCAGUGGCGAGGGCGGCUUUCUGGACUGUAACUGACGCUGCAGAACGAAUCCGUGGGGAGCGAACAGGAUUAGAUACACUUGUAGUC